CUCUCAGGAGAUGGCGCGCCCCCCCCCACAACUCCCCGCCUUCGGAGAGAGAUUCUCCUGCGGGCCUCAGCGCGGCGGACGCGGCUGUUUAAAAGAUGUGGCGUCGUGGUUUUUCUCGCUCUCCAUCUUUCAAACAGUUUGUUCUUGGGGCGAAAGUCCGAGAACAGUUUCAAUUGUUUUAACAUCCGUUUCAAUUUGUACUUCAAAUUGAAGUACAAGGCACUGUCUAUGACCAUGGCCAGAGGCUUCGAGAAAAGCAUCUAAUUUCAGAAUAGGGCCACCACUAACUUAUGAGAAGUGUAAUUCUGGCCAAAUUCCUCAUUGCUUGGUUGGACAGAGCAUUAACCGAUGCAAAAGGUUCUCAGCAUCCCAUGAUUGUCAGGAUGAAGAUGAUCAGCAAAUUCUCUUCCAACUGAUCCAGAAGGACUAGACGUUGUGCCACAUGGAAAUGUCUAUAAUACCAUUCCAACUGUUUUCUUGACAUACUUUACCUGCAUGUAAAGCCGCCUUUUUAAUGGUUUUGCUUAAUCAUUUUAAACCAUAUGCUACUCAAUCUUUCAACAAGACUAUUUAAAAUGUGUUAGUGAUGUAGGUAUGUUACAUCUAAAAUUUUAAUAAAACAGCCAGAAUACUUCUGACAAUGCACAUGAGGAAUAUUCUGCCAGCUAUUGUAAUUUA